rnacentral:RNase_P_RNA from 1 species
GUGAGCUGGAGCACGACAUACUGCUACGGCAGAGGAAACUCCUCCCUCCGUACAGGAAAUGUGAUCUGGAGAUAGAUAAUCAGAGAUGGUUGGCAACGGAGCAGAAAAAAAUCCAAUAUGGCGCACUGUGAUGGCAAAACCUGAGGUUUCCAUAAAAGGAAUGAAAAAAGCCGCCCCACAUGGAGCAAGGCCAAACAGAACUUAAAGUUCCUGUACUAGGUUC